AGAAUAAAUAUGCUGUUAUAUUUUCUAAUGUAAUAAUCAUUCUGGUAUUUCUAUUGUUGUCCUUGGAAGAUUGUUGUUUCGGCAUUUUCGAGUAUUUGAAGACCAAAGAUGCUUCGCUCGUGCAACUCAAAAAUGUGACUACUACCAAUAGUAACGAAACGUAAAGCCUUCAUAGUAAAUUUGCUUGUUUUCAUUAAUAAAAAUGAAUUUUAUAUUCAUAGAAUCUUAUCUUACUAACAAGCGCGAAGAAUCAAACCCUCCACCUAGUAGGAGAUUUAUGACUGGCCUGAGCAAUUGGCUUGAGUUUUGUUUGAAUUCCUAAAACUCGGCUAAAAUUAAAUCAAUCAGUCGCAUAAAAUGAAGCUUUACAUGGGGUCCUUAGCCCUAUCCUUUCAAUA